AGUGUAAUUAAACAAAAGAUUAACUAAUAAACUUUAUUAGACGAAAUUUUAUAUUAGAUUACAUAUUAAACACGCUAAUACUAUUAGACUAAUAAUUAUAUUAAGUUAACACACUAAAACUAGUGUGUUUACUUAAUUAAGUAAACACACUAAUAGUAUUAGCGAGUUUAAUAUGUAAACUAAACUAAAAUUUCUUGUAUUAAAUUUUAUUAGUUGUAUAAAAAACUUACCUAUUAAAUCUAACUUAUUUUGGUAACGUUCAGCAGCCUUUUUAGAUAACUUUUCUUGAUAAUCAUAAGACAUUUUCAAAGCGUUUAAGUAACGUUGUACUGAAAUCAACGCGUUUGUUUGCCCCCAUAUCAUAAUGGUAGAUAUUUUUAUUUUUUAAUUACGCAAUGAUCACGUGGUUUUUUCGCCGCAAGAAUAGCUAAACAUCAAAACCUGAUGUUUAACUUUUGAAUCGUAAACUGAGAGUCAAUGCAAUAUAAGAUUGCAAAUCAUGAAAAUGUCAACUGAGAAAAAAAAAGACCUAAUAAAAAAUCGGAAAUUAGAAGGGAUGACCCUUUGAUUGGUAAUGAAGUGUUGUGAAAUGGAGUUCAAACAAAUGGAAAAAUUAGAUUUGGCAACAAAAAAAUGGCAUCAUUUGUUUUUACCAUUUGUUUCUAAUUUAGGUUAUGUCAUAAUUUUGUAAUAAUUUAUUUAAUAAAGUAUUUUUAAAAAUUCAGUUUUAACAAAUGUAAAUACUGGCUACCAUAAUAAAUUACCCUUAAAUAACAAAAUUUUCUAAACUACAUACAAAAGUAAUUUAAAAAGUUAACGCUUAGCAAAGUCAAGUUAUGAUAAAAUAGAUAACAUUAGGCAUGUUUAAUCAAUGUCAAUAAAUUGUUUUUCUAGAAGCAAACUUAGCUCAUAGUUUGUAAAUCUUGAUUAUGUUUUGAAAUAUUAUUUUCUAAGCCAAGUUGGAACAAUUAUAAUUGACUUUCACUUAAAUAGUAAUUACAUAGUGAUAGUGGGUUGUAACCACAACUAAUGUAGUGACUUUCAUAGUUUUGGGGAAGUAAAUUCAAAUUUAAUAAUAAAAAAAAAAUUAACAAAAAAUAGUUGAGCAAAUAUAUAUUGAAAGCUUUCUUUGCAUUUAUAAUUUGCAAUUUGAGAAUUUUUAGGCAUUUAGUUUAGGACACCACAGAUGGUAGCCAAAAUUUUUCAUUAUGAUUAAUAAUUCUGUUCUAAAUAUAUACCACGCAACCUUUGAAUCAUUUCUUAGAUAUCAAUCAAUAUACUUCUGAAAUAGUUGAUAGAUGGUUACAUUUCAAGGUUGUUUACAAAUUGUAAUACUACUAAUAUUAAGUAAACAUCGAAGGAAAAUGAUUAAAAUAAUUAUGUUUGUAAAAAAAAGUAAUAUUUAUGAUAAUAAACAUAAAAAUCACAACAUGAAAAAAUAAUAAUAAACAUUACUACUAAUAAUAAUGAUUAUAUUAAUGAUAAUAAAAAUAAUAAUGAUAAAAACAAUGAUAAGUUGCUUUUAUAAACAAAAUAGAAAAUAAAGAUAUUGUUUUUAUAAAUACAAUAGAAAAAUUCUAACACAUUAUUUUUUGAGACUUAAUAAGCCUGCAAGCCAAGGCUUUUCCACAAUAGAUUUUUUAAGAUAUAUUUGACUCUAUAAUUUCUAUACAAAACAAUCAAAUUAUGUUUAUAACAUACAAUAUAUGUUAUAAACAUAAUUUGAUUGUAUAUGAUAUCACUAUAACUUGUUAUAUAUGAUAUAUACCAUGCAGAUACCAUGACAUGGCCAACUUAUAAGUUAGCAACUUAUUUUUUUGUUUAAUUUUUUUUUUUGUAAAUUAAUUUUUUUACAACAAAUAAUAAAUGUAAUAAUAAUAUAAGAAAUAAUAACUUAUAAAUAAAGGGGGAAUCCACAAAGUUCUCUAAGCAGUAUCUUUCUAACAAAAAAAAUAACGAGGGAAUGAAUAAGACUUAUUCAUUCCCUCUUAGACUUAUUCAUUCCCUCUGAAUUGCUGAAAUUAUUAUUUCUUAUAUUAAUAUUACUAUUAUUAUUUGUUGUAAAAAAAAUAAAUCAAUUGAAAUAAUAAAUACAUUUAGUAUAACAAUGUAUAUAACACUUUUAGUUUAAUAAUAAGUUACUGAUUAACAAAAAUGGUGACACUUAUAAAUAAAUUUAAUCAGUGAUUAAUAUUUUUUAAAUUUUAUAAUGUUUUGUUAAGCUUUAACUUUAUAUAAGUAUUUGCACUAUUAGUUAUUUCCUUGAAUAUAGUGCUUUCCAUAAUUUAUUUGGUUUGAUUUAACUCGGCUGUUUGUUUAUUAUUUGCGCCUUGACUAUCCAAAAGUUCACGCAACGUUAACUGACGUAAUUAAUAAAGUUCGCACAAUUAAAAACACAUCCUGAGGCAUACUAUCUUCUGCUUACCACUAAUGUCACUAGGUUGCUUAUAGAAAAACAGCAAGUUAAUAAAUAUACUUUUUGCACUAAUCGGAAUUCCAAAAAAUAUCACGUGACUACAAGAAAUGAAAAAAUACGAACUCAGCGUAACAAGGCAAGAAAUGCAGCAUUUCAUAGAAAUACCUAGGGUGCUUGGGGAAACCCAAAACCAAUGUGCGCUACGCCUGAUUAAUAUAAAAGUUGUACCAAUAUUAGACAAAUAAAUGAUCUACAAUACCUUAAAGUUUCAUUAAGUACCUGCCAUAAUUUACAGAGCUGUGAUUCUUAGAAAAAAUGUGUUAACUUACGAUGUAAAAAUAUAUAUGUUUUUUUUUUUGUAAAGUAUUCUAAAAAUGUAUCAAAAUUUAGAAAAACCUUUUUCCUAAUUAACUGCAAAAUUUCAAAAAAAUUUGUUGAUAAUUAGCGGUACAGUGUCGUUUGCCCUAAUACGUGUCUUGGCCAAAUUUCAAAAGUCGGGUCACAGAUUUUAGCUCGCGUUUUUACGGCAAAUUACGAACUUACGCACGUACCUAUUAUUCAUGAGUUUAAAGUUUUAACAGUUGCCGAUGGUUCAUUAUUAUUCAUUAUAUAAACGUUUAUUUAAAUUUAUCUAAUAGAUGAAGGUAAUACAAUAUUUUUAUAGAUGAUUUUGAAAAUUUUUUUAUUAUUAAAUUUCAGAAUUAAACUAUGUAAAAAAAAAUAAAAAAUUUACAAACAGAGUUGGACCAAUGAUAUAUUAUAUCUAGAAGUCUAACUUCAUUACGAAAAGUACUUAAGCUUUUUGCCCUUCUUACAAAUGGCGGAUUAAAUUUGUAAACAAAUAUUUUUAACUUUUCUUUUCUUAAAUGAAGUAAAUAUAUUUUAAAUUUAAAUAUUAUUUACGCAAAAGUGUUAAGCGGAAAUUGUAAUACUUGUAAAAUAAUAAUUUAUGAUUCCUUAAUUUAUUUUCGAUUAAAAAAGGAUUAAAGUUUUGAAUAGAAAAGUAAAACGUCUUACUAACUUGAAGCAUUUUUAUGAAUUAAAAUACUUUUUAAUAAACAUAGGCUCAUAAAAAAACUUUCAAAAGUAUUUCAUAAUUGUUUUGAAUUAUCUUUAAUUUAAUGGGAACUUUUGACGUGCAUUUUUAACUUUUAUUCUACGCAUCGGCUUCAGCUUUUACCCUUUUUACAAAUGGCAGACAAUUGUUAUAAACAAAAGAAGCGCCUUCACUUUUUGUCUAAUAAAAUCCCGCAAGUUUGACAUCUAGUUAUAUAUUAUAUCAUUGGGUUGGACUAGUUUUAAAACAUGGACCGGGAAAACAAUUAGUGACCGGCCUCAUCAAAUUGUAACAGCCUAUUUACACUUCUUGUUUUUUAAAUGUCUUAUAAUAUUUAUAAGAAAAGGAUGGGUGACAGUAUCAACAGACGAUCUCACACCCAAAAGAAAAAGCCCGAGGUUUCUUCAAAAAAAGGUAGGUUUCUUUUUUAAAGGAACCUCGGGCUGAGCAGGUUCUAAUAAACGUCUUUUCACAAGUUUUUAGGCUUUGAAAAACUUUCUUAAUUUUCAAGGAGAUUUGGUUAAAAACUGCAAAAAAUGUAUUAAAAAUUUAGGAAAAACUCGUUACUCAAGGAGGUAAUCAUUUUCAAUCUUCUUGAGGUUAUUUAAUAAGUUUAAAAAAAGUUUUAAUUAUUUAAUGUUUUUAAUGAAGAGCAAGAACCCUGUAACACAUUAAUAAAAACCCUGUAACACAAAUAAAGAAACUCAAACAACUAAUGAGGUAUAAUAGUCUAAAUUAUUUAAACUUUCGUCAGUAAAGAACUAUGUUUUACAAAAUCAAUAAUGUUGUCGUGUGUUUUUUAAAAUAUCUUUAUUUAAAUUCAUAAAAAUCCAAGCAUCCAAAUUGUCAAGUAAUAAACGAUUAUAUUGACAAAUUUUUUAAUAUAAUUCAAGGUAGAAAAACGUUUUUCACAGCCUACUUGGGUGCAAGACAAAUUCAAGAUAUAUUGUAAUUUUAAACAUUUAUAUAAAAACCAUUGUUAAAAAUGGUCAGGGAAAUUCAUCUGAUUUUUCAAAAAAGUCAGGUAGUUUUAAAUAAAUAUUUGGCUACGAACCCUGUUGGAAAAUCAUUUUUUUAAUAUGAAUUUUUUUGUUUUACAAUGCAAUCUGUAUCUCAAAUGUUAACGAGAAUUGUUUUGUUUCAGUGCCAGAAUUUGAAUGCACAGCAAGUUACCAGCAAGUUACAUAAUUCAUAAAAAUAUUAUGAAUCCAUUGGGAAGUAUAUAUUUUUAUCAUUAAAAAUUUGCCCCUCUGUCUUUAAUUUUAUUUGCUUUGUAAGUAAAUGUUGCAUUUACUUACAGAAAUUCUAAAUGUUAUAUGUAAUUUGGUGUAUAGUUUCUUAAGAAUUUUAUUAACUUUAUUGUUUCAAGAUAAAGUUGUAUCCCCUAAAGAUAUACAGGUAUUAUUAGUACCAUGGGCAAACAUUGAAAUGCAACUUGGUAAACAACAAAACGCAUCAAAUUUAUUUAUAUUAAAAUUUGAGUAACAAAAAUAUGCUAUUUAAUGGUUUGCCUGAAUGAGUUUCGUUGCCAUUAAAAGCAGUGGAGAAUUCAAGUACUUUGGAAGAAAAAAGACAUGAAAAUAUUUAAACAAACGGCUAAAUUAUUUUGGACAAGCUGAAGUUAAGACAAUGGAGAUUGUAUAUGUUAUUUACUAAGAAUAUUAAGAACUUUUUUCAUAUAUCAAUUUUUUUAAAAAAAUUGAUAUAUGAAAAAAGUUAAUUGCAUAUGUUGCUAUUGAAGCUAUAGUGUCAAAUAAGCACGGCUUAUGCAGGCAUGUGAUAGAGAUGGUAGAAAAAAAGAUUAUAGUCGUGGGCACCAAAUAUCAUUAGCUAAACACGAUUCAAUAAAAAGUAGCUCAGCCAAUAACGAAACUACUCCAUAAAUUUUAUAGGGAUUUUUUUUAUUUAAAACUCAAUGUGUUAGUUUUUGGUUUAUGUUUGGUGUUUACAGUAUGUAUGUUUAACGGAGAAAUUAAGUAAAUUAAAUAAAUAAAUUUUUAUACUUG